CUCUCACACAGCGGGACUGGAGGUCUGUUAUCUUGAUGAAACAGGGCUGCGUGGAGAGCAUAAGGACGUUGGGGUGGGGCUCGUUAGCCGCAGUCACUUCGUGCGGGAAGGCAGCUUCUAAGGAAGUUUUGCUGGGUCCAGCAUGUUGGCUCAUGCCUGAAAUUCUAGCACUCGGGAGGCGGAGGCAGGAGUAUGGCCAUGAAUUCAAGAGCUGUGUUGGGGAGCCCCCCAGUUUUUCCUCUUCGGUUGCUAUGACACCCACCUACUCCAUCGAUGUAGGUAGACCUACCAAGUAUUCCUUUCGAAGGCUGAAGUGAAGACCCUGGUGUGAAGUCUCCACCUAUCUGCAGUUACUGGAAGCACAAAUCCUGAUGGAUGAGCCAUUUUAACCCACAUCACCAAACGAUGGGAAAAAUUCUUUAAGAAUGGACAAGUGCCUGUGUUAGGUCACAGUUUCUUAAUCCUUCUGGCAAUUACAACGCCCCAGGAGGCCUAACAGUUUGCAGUGCCUAGGUUGGGACCCUAGACUUGUAAGAAGCACCUUUCCUGCUGACACCACCCAUCAGUGUGUAAGUUAAUUUUCCCGAAGGGUGACAAACACACACAAUGUGCACAUGUCUCUAACAAGCCCACAUCUGAGUGUAGCCUCAACAGAUCUGAAAGCAGAGUCUUGAAAAUAUCUGUACACCCAUGCUCACAACAGUCACAGUAGCUGAAAACACCAUGCAUCCAUCAGUGUAGAUACAAAUGAACGGAAUGUGGUGUAGACACAAAGAUCAGCACUCAACUUCACAAAGCGAAUUGCAAUGCGUACUAAAACAGGCAAAGCAUCAUGUUAAGGAAAGUAAGCAGUGGUAAGGAGACAGUUAGAGCAAGCUUCCAUUUCUAAGAGAAACCUAGUCCGAUUCAGAGACGGAAAGAGCAAGAGCUGGGGAUAGGUGGGGCUGAUUAAUUCAUAAAGUGUCGGCUUUGCAUAAUAGCUUAAGCUCAUUCUCUAUUCCUAAACCCCAACACUUAGAAUGGUGUGUUAAUUUGUUUGUUUGUUUGUUUGGUCGCUUGCUUGCUUAAGACAGACUCUUACUAUGUAGCCCUGACUGGCCUACCUAGUAGAUACAACUGUGUAUACCAGGUUGGCUUCAAAAUCACAGAAAUCCACCUGCCUCUACUCCUAAAUGAUGGGAUUAAAGGCAUGCACCACCACA